UUAAUUUAUAUUUAUUAAUUUUUAUUUUGUAAAAAUUGAUUUAUUAAAAAUAAUUAUAAAAUUAUUUGUUUUAGUAAUUUUUAAAUAAAAAAUAAAUUUAAUAAUAGUUAAAUAGUAUUGUGAAAGAAAAUUGAAAUAAUAUGAAAAAUUAAUAUAAUAUAAGAAAAUUUAAUUUAUUGUACCUUGUGUAUCAGGGUUUAUCAAAUAAAAAAUAAUUAUUUUAUUUUUCUCGAUUUUAAAAGAUUUAAUAUAUUAAUAAAGUUAAUGUGAUAAAAUUAUUUUUAAUAAUAUAUUAGAAAUGAAAUGUUAUUCGUUUUUAAAGGUAUCUAGUUUUUUAAGAAAUAAAUUUAAUUUAUUAAUAGUAAAUUUAUUUAAUUAUUUAUUUAAUUAAAUAAUUUAUUAUUAAAAUAUUUUAUGGGAUAAGCUGUAAAAUAAAGUUUUAAAAAUAAAAUAAUAAUUUAAAAAUAUAUGCUUAUAAUUAGCAAUUAUUAAUAAGUUUGUUAUAAAUUAUUUAGUUUAUAAUUUAUUAUUUAUUUAUAUUUUAAAUUUUUAUUAAAAUAUUUAUUAUAAUAUAAAAAAUAAAGAAAAAAUGAUAAAAUUAGUAUAUUUUAUUGUAUAAAUAAUUUUAAUUGUCAAGUUAAUUUAAAGAAUUCGGCAAAUGAAUAUUCGCCUGUUUAACAAAAACAUGUCUUUUUGAAAUAAAUUUAAAGUCUAACCUGCCCACUGAAAUUUUAAAUGGCCGCAGUAUUUUGACUGUGCAAAGGUAGCAUAAUCAUUAGUCUUUUAAUUGAAGGCUUGUAUGAAUGGUUGGACGAAAUAUUAACUGUUUCAAAUUAAAUUUUUAUAGAAUUUUAUUUUUUAGUCAAAAAGCUAAAAUUUAAUUAAAAGACGAGAAGACCCUAUAAAUCUUUAUAAUUUUAUAAUAUUAAUUUUAUAGAUUAUUUUUAUUAUUAUUAGAAAAAUUAUUUUAUUGGGGUGAUAUUAAAAUUUAAAAAACUUUUAAUUUUAUUAAUCAUUAAUUUAUGAAUAAAUGAUCCUAUAUUAUGGAUUAAUAGAAUAAGUUACUUUAGGGAUAACAGCGUAAUUUUUUUGGAGAGUUCAUAUCGAUAAAAAAGAUUGCGACCUCGAUGUUGGAUUAAGAUAUAAUUUUAGGUGCAGAAGCUUAAAUUUUGAGUCUGUUCGACUUUUAAAUUCUUACAUGAUCUGAGUUCAAACCGGCGUAAGCCAGGUUGGUUUCUAUCUUUAAUAAAUUAAAAUAUUUUAGUACGAAAGGACCAAAUAUUUGAAUAAUUAUAUUUUAUUUUAUGAAUAUAAAUAAUUUUUGUUA
rnacentral:rRNA from 1 species